GCACCUGAGAGACAAAAGGAAGCAAGGUCACUCCCAAAGGAAAAAUUGUCACACCCACACCAAGAAGGGUAACAACGUUUGAAAUGUUAAAUACAUCUCCAAUAAAUGAGCAUCGUUUAGAAUCCUCGUGUAACCAACAAAGGGGCUGCUGGAGUAGUAUGACUCUAGUCAAAGAGUUUUUGUUUCAGCCUCUAGUGCUAACUGGAAGGGAGAAGCUUGUCCGUGCUGAAACGUCUUAAGCUGUUACGUGAAGUCACACAAGUAGCUGAUCGAAUCCUGCUGGGUUUGUAACCAAAUCUUGCUCAGCUGAUAGGGAUGUUUAUGCGAAUGCUAAACUUAACAAGAAAGUCUUGUGAAGGCAGGCAUCUGUUCAGCUGCAGGGAGGAGGUAAAUCAACAGCAACAAGACAAGCUGCGAGGACGGGAGUUGAGGUGCGGAACCCGUUAAGCAAGGGAACGGGACACAGCUGCAACAGAACGGGGGUAAGCCGGCUUGUGUGGCCAAGUCACAGGAGGCACCCUGUGAACAAAGCUCGUUGAAAGGACGCUUGAGGAAGACUACAGAACGACCUUCGGAGGAAGAAAGAGCCCCUCAGAGUGGCUGCCAUAGCAAAGAACCGACAGUAGACGGCGACAGAGACCGCCCUGAGAGUUAGAAACGCUCGGACGUAGACGGUGAGGACAACUUCCGAGGACAGAAGGGUUUGCGCUAAGCAGCUGGCGAGAAAGCCACGAAGGUGUGCGUCUGCGUGCAAGAAACCCGCGUGUGCUCAGAUGUGAGAAGAAAGGGAAAAACCCCCAACAGUAGCCUGUAUCCCUCAUUCUUCUGCUGAGAAAUGCAACCAGUCCAAAUAGAGGUCCUAGUGGUCAUGGAGGAGUUGGGUGGAAGAUUGAACUUCAUGGCCUUAGAGGUUUUUUCCAACCUCAAUGAUUCUAUGAUUCAAUGAAGGAAGAGGACAGCACGACCCCCGGCCUGAGGACAGGAAAUAGAAGAUCCUUUCCCCAAACCUGUGGGUUCUUCCUCAGCCAGCUCUCCACAGCACAUCCCCACUCCUACAGUCUCAGCUCAGAGUGCAGGCCCAAGCCUGGGAAGAGCUGUGUGAUGCUAGGACAACAGCCAGGGCUGUACCCACCUUCU